GAUGUCCAUUCUAAAAACAGACAGUUCAGUGGAUCAGUGUUCAUACUGGACAAAACAUUUCCAUUACUUCACUUUAUGUAUUGUUCUGCCCCCUUGUGGUCGGCAGUAACAGCUCAUGUGUGCUAACAUCAAAGACUUAAUAAAGAGUAGAUCCUGCAUUGGCUGCUCGGGUACAGGAAAUACGGCGGCCAUCUUGGUUCUAAACCAAAACAGCAGAAGAAGAAUCAGCACUGUCGGAUAUUUUUGUUCAGAUCGACGGACAUGAGAUCUCAGAGAUAACGUUUCACAAGUAAGAUGAACAUAUUAGUGUUUAUAUUUAUAAUUAGAAUAUUACUUUACUGUAUUUCUGUCCACAUGAAAUCCCAGCUAACAUUAGCUUUAGCGCUUGGUGUAUUACUGGUGUUCAGUCCACACUGUGAAGGAUAACUGAGAUUUUGUAAAAUUGAAAUUGACUUUGAUUCAGAUUAUUCAACACAAGAAAUAAAAUAAUAUUAUAUAUAAUUAUAAAUAUAUUAUUGUAAUAUUAUGUUAUAACAAUCCAAAGCAAAUAUCACACAGGUGGCAAAGAAUAUUAUUUAUUAUUCAUUCUUUCACUCUGUAAGAUACCAAAUCUCCUGUUUUUAUUUUGAAGGUUUAAUAAAGUCACGAUGUGAGGAAGAAAUGGGAAAUGUGUUUAAGGAGAGACGGAUUCACUGAUCUAUGUCUCGUCAGGUGAAGCCCAGACUUCCCUUUGCCAGUCACUGGAGUCAGCUCCUCCUUGUGUCCAGACAAUGGGGAAGGAACGUAGAUCGACCGGUAAAUCAAGAGUGGAAAUGAAGGUUCCUGAAACUCUGGACCUGCAGCCAAUCAGAGGGGAGAUGGUUCAGCCUUUUCUCAAAAACCACAGGAGAUGGAGUCUGCAGGUUGGUGACCUUGACCUCUGACCUGCAGCAGGUCCCGGUUCCCUCGGUGUUGGACCGAGACAGAGAUGUUCUGAUCAACCAGCUGAGAAUCUGCAAAGUCAGCAGAAUCAGCCUCAGCUGAUCUGACCCAGAAAGACCAGCUCUGAUUGAAAACACUCCAUGACCUUUGCUCCUAAAGGUCACAGCAGGCAGAACAGGAAACGGGUCGAUUUCCCUGAACAGAACCUGAACCGGGCCGAAGAGAACCUGCUGGAACAUCAACAGCUAAUCACUAAAUCUUCCCUGUGUGGAUCGA